rnacentral:rRNA from 1 species
GGUGACCUGGGGAGGAUCAUUAUCGAGUUUUGAACGGGUUGUAGCUGGCCUCAUANNNUGNCAUGUGCACGCCUGUCUUCAUCCACUCUUCAACCUCUGUGCACUUAUUGUAGGCUGGUGAAGGGUCGCAUAGUAAUGUGCGGCUUGAAGCCUGGUCUACGUUUUACUACAAACGCUUCAGUUAUAGAAUGUCUAUCUGCGUAUAACGCAUUUAAUAUACAACUUUCAGCAACGGAUCUCUUGGCUCUCGCAUCGAUGAAGAACGCAGCGAAAUGCGAUAAGUAAUGUGAAUUGCAGAAUUCAGUGAAUCAUCGAAUCUUUGAACGCACCUUGCGCUCCCUGGUAUUCCGGNGAGCAUGCCUGUUUGAGUGUCAUGGAAUUCUCAACUUCUAAUACUUUUUUGUAUCAGAAGCUUGGAUUUGGAGGCUCGUGCUGGCUCUCUCGUUAGAGUCGGCUCCUCUUAAAUGAAUUAGCGUGAAUCACUAUGGAUCGCUUCGGUGUGAUAAUUAUCUGCGCCGUAGUCGUGAAGUAUUAAUAAAAGUUCUCGCUUCUAAUCGUCCUUCACGGGACAAUUAACCCUGACUUUUUGACCUCAAAUCAGGUAGGACUACCCGCUGAACUUAAGCAUAUCAAUAAGCGGAGGAAAAGAAACUAACAAGGAUUCCCCUAGUAACUGCNAGUGAAGCGGGAAAAGCUCAAAUUUAAAAUCUGGUAGCCUUCGGUGCCCGAGUUGUAUNCGGA